rnacentral:rRNA from 1 species
UACAGAGGUCCCAAGCGUUGUUCGGAUUCAUUGGGCGUAAAGGGUGCGUAGGUGGCGUCGUAAGUCGGGUGUGAAAUUUCGGAGCUCAACUCCGAAACUGCAUUCGAUACUGCGGUGCUUGAGGACUGGAGAGGAGACUGGAAUUUACGGUGUAGCAGUGAAAUGCGUAGAGAUCGUAAGGAAGACCAGUGGCGAAGGCGGGUCUCUGGACAGUUCCUGACACUGAGGCACGAAGGCCAGGGGGGCAAACGGG